GACGUCCGUGACGUACACCGCCGAAGUCUGGUUCCUGCAACCCUUGGUGAAGCAGUAGUACUGGUCGAUGAUGAUGCAGUUCCUCACGUUCUCCAUGAACACCGUGUCGAAGGCGAUGCCGGAGACGGACCCCAUCCCGCCCUGCCAGGUCUUGAUCCUCAAUCCAUUGUCCGAGUUCCUUAUCACCGAGUUCCUCACCGUGAUGUUCGACACGCAGGCCUGCGAGUUGUGCACCCCCAAGCUCCCUAUGCUGCAGAUCGAGCACCAUGGCGGGUCAGCCCCUGCGAACUCGGAAGC
rnacentral:lncRNA from 1 species